UGAUGAUUAGAAAAGAGCAUGGCCUACAUGAACGUUUAAUGAUGUUGCUGUAUCUACUCUAAAGUGUAGUCACUGAUAAACUGUAUAAUAAGUAGAAUGCUACGAUUUCACCUCUGCAUUUUAUAUACUGUUAGAUACUAGUAAUAAGAGCAUACAUUGAUUAGAUUUUGUCUAAACGUUACUUUUUAUUACGUGUUUUAUGUACUAAAUAUUGUACAAUGGUUAUGUCACAUUUAUCUGGCGAUUGACAUUCUGUGUAUGCAAAUUUAAAGUCCAUUGUUAACAACUGGAUGGUGCACUCUAGAAGAGGACUUUUGGUUAUUGUCUCUUUUGAAUGCUGUCUUAUUGACGUAAACACCAAAACCACCCUCUUCAAAUUGAGACUCGUUUUCCUUUUUUUUGUUUAGAAUUUAAGGCUAAAAUCCUUUUUUUUUGUUCUGUUUUUUUUUUUCUUCAAAAAUUUGGUAUGGUAGGCAUCUGAAGAAUAAAAAUCAGAAAUUUUUUUUAAUUGAGUACAGCCAUUUCAAUUGAUAUUCUAUAGUGUAUCUUUCUAUUUUGUGAUGUCACACUAUUGUUUCAGAUAAGGGUUAAGGUUGGUAACUAUUAAAACGUUAAAAUCCCCCUGCAUUUGUUUGCACCUGUCCUAAGUCAGGAAUCUGAUGUUCAGCAGUUGUCGUUUGUUGAUGUGGUUCAUAAGUGUUUCUCGUUUCUCGUUUUUAAUAUAGAUUAGACCGUUGGUUUUCCCUUUUGAAUACUGUUACACUAGUAAUUUGUGCUGUCCUUUAAUAUAUAUCAUUUAGCUAGAUGUUCAUUGUGAGCCAAGGCUCCGUGUUGAAGACCGUACUUUGACCUAUAUUGAUCAUUUAAUACUGGUUUACUUUUACAAGUU
rnacentral:lncRNA from 1 species